GACAGUGUCAAAAAGAAAAAAAAAAAAAACCACACAACAACAACAAAACACCAAAACAGGAAGCUAACGCGACUUUUUUUGCUCCUCCUCGGAGGGAAAACGGGCAGUUUAAGUUGUGGCCAGCCGAGCACCAGCCUUUUCCUGCCAGCCUCCUGCGGUGCAGAGCCACUUCCUUCCCCGGCACAACCUGCACAAAGGCACCUCCACCUCUUAAAGGCGCACCCGGCCCUUUUGCAGCGAAGCUAGCCUGCAGGUUCCAGCGAAAAACCAAACAAAAUAGAAGCAACAAAAAAGGGGGACUUAAACAAAAAAACACUGGCUCUCCAGCAAAAUUCCUUUCAGCGAAAAAAAUGGCCUCAGCUUUCCUUGCCAUGCUCACAGUCACUUAACUGUGCUUCAUAAACACCUUAGCAGGGAGAGCCUGCAACAUGACAGAUCCGAGCAGCAAACUAUCACAGAUAUCAAAGAGCAGCUCUUCUCUGAAAGAUGAUUCCACAAAAAAGCAUUGUCAGAUUUCGUGUUCAUUUUUUUCCCUGGGAAUCCACUUCAAACAAGUAAAAGCAAUCAGACGAAGCGGUACUGCAAACCAAGCCCUCCGGAAUACUUCUGCAAUCUCUGAGCUGCACAAGCCUGACCGAAGGAAGACUUCUUAACAACAUGGCUGCUACAGGUGGUACAAAACACAGUGCUGGGCCAGUAUCCAUAGCGGAUAGUCCGUACAGCAUGGGCAAGCCUUCAGCUAGGUCCUCCUCAGAGAUAGAGGUGGACCCACAGGGCUGCUGCAACAAACCCUUAGACAAAAUGUAGUUUCCAUUGCAGUUGAUCAAAUGUGAGACUCAGUCACACAAAAGAAAAGUACAGAACCCCAUACAACUGGUUUUAUUGCCUUUCAGAGUGGAGGGAUGCUUUAAAUAGCUGUAAAUUACACAGCUCAGCUGGCAGAAUAGGUAAUAGCAAGCACGAGUUUUAGAGGACUGGCAAAGCAGUAAGAGAAGUAUGUCGAUAAUCCCAAACAAGGGCCAAAUUCCCUACUAACGUAACCGCACUGAGUUCAGACUUGGUGGAUGUGAAUGAAACUUAUAAUUGACUGUAACCUUACACAAAUUCUAGGUAAGACACAGAAUGUACAUUUUUGUGCUUGUCUCAGGUUUUACUGCAUUUACAAAUUUUUCACACA